rnacentral:rRNA from 1 species
GAUGAACGCUGGCGGCGUGCCUAACACAUGCAAGUCGAGCGAGAUAAAUGUGAGUGGAGACUUCGGUCAAAGCAAUCAUUUUGAAAGCGGCGGACGGGUGAGUAACGCGUGAGCAAUCUGCCCCAUACAAAGGGAUACCCACUGGAAACGGUGAUUAAUACCUUAUAAGACCACGAAGUCGCCUGGCUUAGUGGCCAAAGAUUUAUCGGUAUGGGAUGAGCUCGCGUCUGAUUAGCUAGUUGGUGAGGUAAUGGCUCACCAAGGCGACGAUCAGUAGCCGACCUGAGAGGGUGAACGGCCACACUGGAACUGAGACACGGUCCAGACUCCUACGGGAGGCAGCAGUGGGGAAUAUUGCACAAUGGGCGCAAGUCUGAUGCAGCAACGCCGCGUGAAUGAUGAAGGCCUUCGGGUCGUAAAGUUCUGUCCUAAGGGAAGAAUACAGUGACGGUACCUUAGGAGGAAGCCCCGGCUAACUACGUGCCAGCAGCCGCCGGUAA